rnacentral:tRNA from 1 species
UGGGCCAUGGCCAAGUGGUUAAGGCAUCGGACUCUGACUCCGAGACCGAGAGUUCGAAUCUCUCUGGCCCUGCCA